rnacentral:rRNA from 1 species
GAUCCUGGCUCAGGACGAACGCUGGCGGCGUGCUUAACACAUGCAAGUCGAACGGAGCACCCUUGACUGAGGUUUCGGCCAAAUGAUAGGAAUGCUUAGUGGCGGACUGGUGAGUAACGCGUGAGGAACCUGCCUUUCAGAGGGGGACAACAGUUGGAAACGACUGCUAAUACCGCAUGAUGCGUAACUGGGACAUCCCGGAUACGCCAAAGAUUUUAUCGCUGAAAGAUGGCCUCGCGU